GACGAACGCUGGCGGCGUGCUUAACACAUGCAAGUCGAACGGUGAAGCCCUUCGGGGUGGAUCAGUGGCGAACGGGUGAGUAACACGUGAGCAAUCUGCCCUUGACUCUGGGAUAACUUCGGGAAACCGGAGCUAAUACCGGAUAUGACGCACGGAGGCAUCUUCUGUGUGUGGAAAGAUUUAUCGGUCAAGGAUGAGCUCGCGGCCUAUCAGCUUGUUGGNGGGGUAAUGGCCUACCAAGGCGACGACGGGUAGCCGGCCUGAGAGGGCGACCGGCCACACUGGGACUGAGACACGGCCCAGACUCCUACGGGAGGCAGCAGUGGGGAAUUUUGGACAAUGGGGAAACCCUGAUCCAGCCAUUCCGCGUGAGUGAAGAAGG
rnacentral:rRNA from 1 species